GUGCUCACUUCGGCAGCACAUAUAUUAAAAUUAGAACGAUACAGAGAUUAGCAGGGCCCCUGCACAAGGAUGACAUGCAAAUUUGCGAAGUGUUCCAUAUUUUA
rnacentral:snRNA from 1 species